rnacentral:lncRNA from 1 species
UUAGAAUUAAUAGUGCUGCUAUACAUAUAUAAUCCCUCAUUAUCUUGUAUCAUCAUGUUCAUAUUUACUGAAUAAAACUUCUCAGCAAGUAGUUACUGAGUAAGUUUUUUGAAGGAAGGAUACCAAAAAUCUCUGUAACCUUAUUUUCACCUAAUAAAUUAUUCAUUUGAAAUCUUGGGAAAAACUGAAUAAAAAAGAAUGAAGUAUACCUACAAGAUCUAGAAAAUAGCCUCAAAAUGUAUUAAGUAAUUAAUCCAUAAUGCCAGCCACUACCUAAAAAAAGGAUAAGGCCAAAGCUAAAAAAAAAAAAAAUCAAAAGCUAGUAUUAUUAUUAUUAUUAUUAUUAUUGUAUUUUUAGUAGAGACGGGUUUCUCCAUGUUGGUCAGGCUGGUCUCAAACUCCCGACCUUAGGUGAUCCAAUACUAAAAUACAAAAAAAUUAGCCAGGUGUCGUGGUGGGCACCUGUGAUCCCAGCUACUCGGGAGGCUGAGGCAGGGGACUCACUUGAACCCAGGAGGCGGAGGUUGCAGUGAGCCGAGAUUGCGCCACUGCACUCCAGCCUGGCGAGGGAGUGAGACUCCUUCUCAAAAAAAAAAAAAAUAAAAAGUGUCUUUACUGUGCCUUUUCUAUGUUUAGAUAGGUUAGAUACACAAAUACUUCCCACGGUGUUACAAUUGCCUACAGUAUUCAGGACAGUCACGUGCUGUGCAGAUCUGUAGCCUAGGAGCGAUGGGCUCUAGCAUAUAGCCUGAGAGUGUGGUAGGCUAUGCCGUCUAGGUCCAUCUAAGUCCACUCUGCAUUCACACAAGGACAACAGCAGCACAUGUUCUCAGAACAUAUCCUCAUUGUUCAACUGUGCAUGACUCUACAGUAUUAUCUUCUCCUGUGUUUUCCUUGUGAACCCUCAGCUGGUUAACAUGGAUCCCGAGCCCUGGGCCUUCCCCGGAACUUUCUAGCCUAGAUUUAGUUUGUCAGGUUUCAGAAAGAAUAAAAUUAUCUAAAAUUGAGGGAAAAAAAUUGGCAGGCAAUUUGGAAAAGACUCUCAGUUGGCCUGCCAACAACACUGGCAGAAGAAAUGUAGUCGAGUUAGAAUCCUUCCAGCAUGUUCCCUAGGGGAUGCUCACACAGGAACCACAGGUGAAAUAGGGAAGUCCCUGGCUCCUAAAGCCUAAGCAGGAACCAUAUACUCCACCACUCCCCUCCUGAAGUGAAAUUGAGUCCCAAACCAGGAGUAACAGGAGCACAAAGGUGACGGAGCUCAUACAAACUGAGAUGAAUUGCAGCUUCCAGGACGGAAAUGACUAGUAGCUUAUUAUUUGUCAUUGGCUCCAGAUAAAUCUUACAACCUGAUUAAAAGCAAAUGUAUUGACUUUUUUUUUUUUUUUUUUUGGCUAUGGCUAUUCUGACUAUUCUCUUUUACUGAAAAUGGUUUUUUUCUAAUUAGAUAGCAGCAGCCUGAAGGUAGGACCAUCUUAGUUUCUGUGUUCCUUAUAGAAUCUAGGAAAUUAUUUUGUACAUUGUAAGUAUUCAAUAAAGAUUGGAUUACUCAACUUGAAUAAAAA